AGCUUGCUCCUUGAUUUAGCGGCGGACGGGUGAGUAAUGCCUAGGAAUCUGCCCGGUAGUGGGGGAUAACGUUCCGAAAGGAACGCUAAUACCGCAUACGUCCUACGGGAGAAAGCAGGGGACCUUCGGGCCUUGCGCUAUCGGAUGAGCCUAGGUCGGAUUAGCUAGUUGGUGAGGUAAAGGCUCACCAAGGCGACGAUCCGUAACUGGUCUGAGAGGAUGAUCAGUCACACUGGAACUGAGACACGGUCCAGACUCCUACGGGAGGCAGCAGUGGGGAAUAUUGGACAAUGGGCGAAAGCCUGAUCCAGCCAUGCCGCGUGUGUGAAGAAGGUCUUCGGAUUGUAAAGCACUUUAAGUUGGGAGGAAGGGCAGUAAGUUAAUACCUUGCUGUUUUGACGUUACCGACAGAAUAAGCACCGGCUAACUUCGUGCCAGCAGCCGCGGUAAUACGAAGGGUGCAAGCGUUAAUCGGAAUUACUGGGCGUAAAGCGCGCGUAGGUGGUUCGUUAAGUUGGAUGUGAAAGCCCCGGGCUCAACCUGGGAACUGCAUCCAAAACUGGCGAGCUAGAGUACGGUA
rnacentral:rRNA from 1 species